rnacentral:rRNA from 1 species
AGCAGCCGCGGUAAUUCCAGCUCCAAUAGCGUAUAUUAAAGUUGUUGCAGUUAAAAGCUCGUAGUUGAAUUUCGGGGUUAGUAGGUUGGUCGUGCCUUUGGUAUGUACUGGUCUCACUGAUUCCUCCUUCUUGAAGAACUGUAAUGUCAUUAAUUUGGUGUUGCAGGGAAACAGGACUGUUACUUUGAAAAAUUGAGUGUUUAAAGCAGGCUAACGCCUGAAUACAUUAGCAUGGAAUAAUGAAAUAGGACGUUUGAUCCUAUUUUGUUGGUUUCUAGGAUUGACGUAAUGAUUAAUAGGGAUAGUUGGGGCAUUAGUAUUCAAUUGUCAG